rnacentral:rRNA from 1 species
UACGGAGGGUGCAAGCGUUGUCCGGAAUUAUUGGGCGUAAAGAGCUCGUAGGCGGUUUGUCGCGUCGAAUGUGAAAACCCGGGGCUCAACCCCGGGCCUGCAUUCGAUACGGGCAGACUAGAGUUCGGUAGGGGAGUCUGGAAUUCCUGGUGUAGCGGUGAAAUGCGCAGAUAUCAGGAGGAACACCAUGGCGAAGGCAGCACUCUGGGACGUGACUGACGCUGAGACGCGAAAGCGUGGGGAGCAAACAGG